AAUCUUGCGCAAUGGGCGAAAGCCUGACGCAGCCAUGCCGCGUGAAUGAUGACGGCCUUAGUAGUGUAAAAUUCUUUCACCGGGGACGAUAAUUACUGUACCCGGAGAAGAAGCCACGGCUAACUUCGUGCCAGCAGCCGCGGUAAUACGAAGGGGGCUAGCGUUGCUCGGAAUUACUGGGCGUAAAGGGCGCGUAGGCGGACAUUUAGGUCAGGGGUGAAAUCCCAGGGCUCAACUCUGGAACUGCCUUUGAUACUGGGUGUCUUGAGUGUGAGAGAGGUAAGUGGAACUCCGAGUGUAGAGGUGAAAUUCGUAGAUAUUCGGAAGAACACCAGUGGCGAAGGCGACAUACUGGCUCAUUACUGACGCUGAGGCGCGAAAGCGUGGGGAGCAAACAG
rnacentral:rRNA from 1 species